GACGAACGCUGGCGGCGUGCUUAACACAUGCAAGUCGAACGGAAAGGCCCUGCUUGCAGGGUACUCGAGUGGCGAACGGGUGAGUAACACGUGGGUGAUCUGCCCUGCACUUCGGGAUAAGCCUGGGAAACUGGGUCUAAUACCGGAUAGGAGCCAUUUUUAGUGUGAUGGUUGGAAAGUUUUUUCGGUGUAGGAUGAGCUCGCGGCCUAUCAGCUUGUUGGUGGGGUAAUGGCCUACCAAGGCGGCGACGGGUAGCCGGCCUGAGAGGGUGGACGGCCACAUUGGGACUGAGCUUCGGCCCAGAAUCCUACGGGAGGCAGCAGUGGGGAAUAUUGCACAAUGGGCGCCAGCCUGAUGCAGCGACGCCGCGUGGGGGAUGACGGCCUUCGGGUUGUAAACUCCUUUCGCUAGGGACGAAGCUUUUUGUGACGGUACCUAGAUAAGAAGCACCGGCUAACUACGUG
rnacentral:rRNA from 1 species